rnacentral:tRNA from 1 species
GUAGUGUAAACGGUUGACACAAUUGACUGCUAACCAAAAGGUUGGUGGUUUGAGUCUACCC